AUUGUAAGAGCAGGACUGCUAAAAGAAAGGCCAGUCCUGAAAAGAAGACCCCAAUAAAAAGGAGGAGGGUCGCUGAGCAGCUGGUCCUUCCACCAGCUCAGAUGUGGUCAAAGGAGUGAAGCGCAAGGUUGUGCAAGAUGAAGAGGGCACAACAAAGAAAGCAAAGAAGGCUAAACUUCUCGACCAUAUGAGCGGUGACAAGGAGCAAGCAUCCUCCUUGUUGGACUCUGGUAAAGACUUGAAUAACAACAGGUGUGCGCAAAAAAUGGCAAAAGAAAGGCCGCGGAGACAACAGAGAGUCACCCAAGAAAAAAAAAAAGGAAUGUGGACCAGGACAAAAAAUCAGUGGCAGACCAAAAACGUGAAUUCCAAGCCAGAUAUGUGGAGGAGCACCAGCUCGGAGAAGGAGGCUGCGGAGCAGUGUUUGCUGGCUACCGGAUAG
rnacentral:lncRNA from 1 species